ACCAUAGAACUGCAUCCAAAACUGAGGGGCUAGAGUCUGGGAGGGGAAGAUGGAAUUAGUGGUGUAGGGGUAAAAUCCGUAGAGAUCACUAGGAAUACCAAAAGCGAAGGCGAUCUUCUGGAACAGUACUGACGCUGAGGCGCGAAAGCGUGGGGAGCAAACAGGAUUAGAUACCCUGGUAGUCCACGCCCUAAACUAUGAAUGUUAGUCGUCGGGAGGCUCGUCCUCUCGGUGAUGCAGCUAACGCAUUAAACAUUCCGCCUGGGGAGUACGGUCGCAAGAUUAAAACUCAAAGGAAUGGACGGGGACCCGCACAAGUGGUGGAGCAUGUGGUUUAAUUCGAAGAUACGCGAAGAACCUUACCUGGCCUUGACAUUGAUAGAAUCUGCUAGAGAUAGCGGAGUGCCCUUCGGGGAGCUUGAAAACAGGUGCUGCACGGCUGUCGUCAGCUCGUGUCGUGAGAUGUUGGGUUAAGUCCCGCAACGAGCGCAACCCUCGUCACUAGUUACUAACGGUUCGGCCGAGGACUCUAGUGAGACUGCCUUCGUAAGGAGGAGGAAGGUGAGGACGACGUCAAGUCAUCAUGGCCCUUACGGCCAGGGCGACACACGUGCUACAAUGGGAUGUACAAUGAGACGCAAUACCGCGAGGUGGAGCAAAUCUAUAAAGCAUCUCUCAGUUCGGAUUGUAGUCUGCAACUCGACUACAUGAAGCU
rnacentral:rRNA from 1 species